AAAAGUGCAAAAAGAAGCAACAGCCGCUCCACCCGAGACCAGAAAAGUGAAUGCCGCGUCCCGCCCGCUCGCUAUGAGCCGGGGAUGCGGAGGCAGCGGCUAACGGUCCAGGGAGGCGGCAGAGGCGGCAGGAACCGCUAGGCGGAGAGAGACCAGGUCUUGCUCCACUGCCCUUACCAGCAGCUCAGCUCACCCCAUUCACCCUUACUUCUCAUCUCAGGAAGUCAUAACAACAUUAUGAGGUGAAUGUUUCAAUAAGCAUGAUUUCACUGGUUGGGAAUUGGAAGUGUGGAAAUGCUAAGCAAGAUAGACAACUGGAAGUAGCCGAGCCAGGAUUCAACCCAGAGCUCUGAGCAAACUAGUGGACAGCAUUGAAGAGAACCAAGGAUAUCCACCAAGACUGGAAGUUUUAACUGCGGCCACAGGAAGGGUUGACGUUUUUAUCAUCGCUCUUCUGAUCCUUCUCUAGUCCCAUCCAUCCUCAGUAUUGUUAAAGAUUGUCUGUGGUCUCGGAGGCUUGGCUUGCUCAGAUCAGCUUGCUCUGUCAGCGACUUAGUUGUGCUAGGUGCUGGAAUACAUCUGUGAACAUCACCCAGACUCUGUCUUUGAAGAUCAUACUGCUUGGUUGGAGAAAUGACUGUGAAAAGUGGCAAUUUCAAAACUGUAUGAUAAAUGUUAGAUACAGAAAUCCUCACUCAGAAGUUUCUGACCUUGUUGAGACCAGGAGAAGAAAAGAAGCCCAAAGUUUCCAGAGAAACUCAAGACCAAAUCUACUAACCAAUGCGCUCUCGAAGGAGGGGAAACAACCUCGAAUUGGACAGCCUGGAAUUCCUCUGUGCCCUCAGCCAGGUUACACUCACUUGCCCAUUAGUGUAUAUGAAUUCCUUAGUUAAUGCAACAAAACUUACUGGGUUGCUUUUAUGUGAAAAGAAUGUAUCAGGAACUGAACAUGUAAAAACAUGCUCAAAUAUAGAAGACAUUAUUAUAGUGCAUAAAUUAUAGAAGGGCAUACAUUAUUAUAAUGCAAAGUUAAAGCAGAGGCAGAUUUAGCAUGGAGUGAGUGAUGCUCAAGCGUCAUGCCCCUCACUUACGUGGGCCACUUCCAGCACUCUGGGAGACGCUGUGAACAUAAUUCUGUGGUCAUACAUUUUUGUAAAAUUUGCAAAAGUGAGACUAAAAGAAAAGGCCUCAGUUAGUUCAACUGUCUCUUUUCCCUCUUAGUUUCCCCCUGUUGGCAUGGCUAUGGCUAUUUUUGAGAUGUAGCAAAAGAAAACCUGUAUUGAAAAUACACUCAGAGGAGUUUUUUGAAAUGUAUGGAUGGAUUUUAGAAUGAACAGAUUACCAGCUCUCCGGGUGGAGGAGUGGUCUCUAGAAAUGUCUCACCACCCCCAGAGCUGACUCAUUGUGUUUUAAUGGCACGAGGGUACAGAACGGAGGUUUUAUCAAGAUAAAAACAUGCCCUGUGGCACUCAGGACAGGACUUGGGUGGGUACUAGAGGGGACACAAGGCUUGGAGUGUAUAAAGUCAAAAGACAGUCUGUAGAAAAUUAUUUUAGUCAGACGAGGACAACUGUAAAGAAAAGGCUUAAUUCUUGACAGUGCCUACUCAAGACAGAUCUUUCUGAAGUCAGAAAUACUCUCAGUAACACAACAUAAAUAGUUAUACAAUUAUGCAUGCACCGUACAUUUUUUUCUUUUCAUUGGUAAUUACACAAAAACACAGUGUGUCAGGUGCCUAGGGACAACCUAGUGGCAGCACUACAAAGAGUGAGUUUGUGCAUAUGUAAAGAUGUAUGUUUUAUUUAUUUCAAUUACCAACUGUAAAAUAAUUGUGACCAACCAUUAAA